rnacentral:rRNA from 1 species
UACGUAGGGCGCAAGCGUUGUCCGGAAUUAUUGGGCGUAAAGAGCUCGUAGGCGGCUUGUCACGUCGGGUGUGAAAGCCCGGGGCUUAACCCCGGGUCUGCAUUCGAUACGGGCAGACUAGAGUCCGGCAGGGGAGACUGGAAUUCCUGGUGUAGCGGUGAAAUGCGCAGAUAUCAGGAGGAACACCGGUGGCGAAGGCGGGUCUCUGGGCCGGAACUGACGCUGAGGAGCGAAAGCGUGGGGAGCGAACAGG